rnacentral:lncRNA from 1 species
GAAAAGUCUUGGUGUCCCUCACACCACUCUGUACUGAUGACCCCACCGUGACACUGGGUAAGGUUUCUGUUCCUCAUUGUGCAGAAGAAAAACUGAGGCCUAACAAAGGAAGGGACUUGCCCGGUGAGUCAUCAGAAUAAUCCAGGCCUCCUGCCCCGUCCAGAGCCCUUUCUAGGGGUGGAUGAAAGGUCAGGCUGGCAGUCUGGUCCCCAAAGUGGCCAGCCUUGGGGGAUGAGUGGAUGGGAGGGCUCAGCUAAGCCUCAGCAAACCCAGGCUCCCUGGAAGGUGGGAGUGGGGGCACUUGGUGGGUCACAGGGCCAAGUUGAUGAAGUCACCCACUCUGCCAAGAUAUUACUCCAGCUGACGCUCACCAAACUCCUUGGGACUGAGGAAAAAUCAGAGGUGCUCAGAGCCUAAUUAUAAUAAACAGUUUCCUGUGCAGCUCCUGGAGCCCCCCUGGGAAAUGUCCUGUGGAAGAUGUCUUUGUCUCAGAGCCUGCCAUCUGGCGCUUUGGCCCAGGAAGGUGGGGACCAACAGGCAUCCCCCCCUUGGGCCGCUGCUCCUGGAGCGCAGAGCCUCAGCAUCCUGCACCCUCAGAUGGAGGUCAGAGAAAAAUAGGCUGGGGGAGAGGAGGUGAGGGUGGGAUCAUGUGGGGUCAUGUGCAACUGGGCUGGUGUCAACAGCCACUAUCUUUGAGGUGAUGGCCCCGAUGUGGGUUGCUCUAUCUUCCAGUCAUUUCUAUGGGUCUUUCCUGGACUGACGCAUGGGCAGGGCUGCUGAGAAAAGCUGUGCCUCUGCCCCAGCACCCCCUGACCCCAUCCAUCAAGUCCACCCUCCAGUUGGGAGAAACAGCAGUGACCAUCACAUGGUAGGGAGUGAGUCAUCUACCAAGUGGUACUGACCAUGGUCCUCUGGGGCCCUGAGGAGAGUGUGUGUUCUGUUGGCCAAGGCA